GAUGAAUAAUUUAGCAUUUCUUAUCAUGCUUGUCUUCGGACUCGUUGUCCUUACAGAAAGCGCAGAAUAUGACGAAGGUUUUCGACGUCUAGGUGAAACGGAAAUGUUGCAAAAUGGCAUAGAAGACUUGCUCAAAGUAAAAGCAGAAUACGAUGAAUUCGUAAAACAAGAACAAAUUGGACGAAAAGAGCAAACCUAGAGAUUUCAUUUAUUAUUCAAGUGCAGCAUACUUAAUUUGCAACUUAAUAAACCAUCGUGAGAUAA